rnacentral:rRNA from 1 species
UACAGAGGGUGCGAGCGUUAAUCGGAAUUACUGGGCGUAAAGCGCACGUAGGUGGCGACGUAAGUCGGGUGUGAAAGCCCCGGGCUCAACCUGGGAAUUGCAUUCGAGACUGCAUUGCUGGAGUACGGAAGAGGAGGGCGGAAUUCCCGGUGUAGUGGUGAAAUGCGUAGAUAUCGGGAGGAACACCAGUGGCGAAGGCGACUACCUGGCCUGUUCUUGACGCUGAGGCGCGAAAGCUAGGGGAGCAAACGGG